UCUCUGGGGUUGGAACAGGAAAGAAAGCC
rnacentral:piRNA from 1 species